AGGAAACAGGGGAGCACUCCCAAUCCCAGGGCUUAUGGGCUGAAAGACUUCAAUGCAGCUCUGGAAUGUCUCUAGGUGUUCCAGUGUGUUACAGGGCAACCAUUAGGUUUUGCUCACCCUAACUUAGAUCA